CCUAUGCAUGUAAAUGGAGUGCUACCUUCAAGACAACAAUCAUUUUCUACAGAUUUUGUUACCUUGAGUGCCUUUGUUCUCCAAAUGGUUCUUGUGUUCCUUUUAAGAAUUCAUUCCUAUUUUGGGUAACAUUAGUGAACAGUUUGCUUGCGUCGAUGAAGCACAUAUAUGUAUGUCCAAUGUUUCUGGUGUCACUGUUUGAAGUUGGUAUUUGUUUUAAGUCGACUAAUUAAAGAUGUUUGUUAUAGAGAGGUAUAAAUCGGUAACCGCGUAUGUAAUAUGUACACAGAGGCUGAUAAGAGUUUCAGAGUCCAGGGAUGGAUAUUCACCAGGACAUAGCAACUCCAAAUACCAACCAUCUGACCUUUCCUGAGAAUAUGAUUGUCACAGGGGCCUUCCGGAAUAACAUGUUAGUGGCCUAGUUCUCAUUUCUCUCCUAGAAGCUGAUUACAGCUAUUCUGUGUGUAGUAACAAAACAUACAUGUUUGUUAUUCACGGAUGUUCACACAAGCCAUAUCACUGCCAGGCACAUCACUCACACAGCAUCAGGAUUCACAAUAUUUUUGGGUUAUGCAGACCUUCAACCAAUAUUUUCUUUGGAACACCCUGCAGCCAUUAAGGUGUGCCAGCCUCGGAUAUUGGGAUGUCUGAACUUUUGUUUGAAUCAUGACUUUGUGGAUUCCUCUAACUUACAGAAACUCACAGCACACCGUUGUUGCCUUGUCUGGCCAGUUGUGCCGACAUCUCAAAUACUGUACAGACUUUGAAUCUUAUAUUCUGAUAUAAACAGACCAUUGGACAGCCACAAAGAACCUUGUCUACAUUGCCUACAUGCCUAUAUUGCCUACAGGUUACAUCACAGCACACCAACAUGCCUGGAUUGCCUACAGGUUACAUCACAGCACACCAACAUGCCUAUAUUGCCUACAGGUUACAUCACAGCACACCAACAUGCCUAUAUUGCCUACAGGUUAAAUCAUAGCACAUCAAUACAUCAAGAAGUUGAUGUGAUGAACAACGAGGAGAGCUCUAUGGAUAUACAACUUCUUUAAUAUAAUAUGAGCGACACUUCAGUGUAGCUACUAACACCCAUUAUCAAGCAAAAUGAUUUUUUCCCUCGUAAUAUUGACUUAGAUCUGGUAUUAUUUUUUUAUGUAUAUGUGUGUGUGUGUGUAUAAAUUUUAUUUAGAUUUGUAUUGCAUCCACAGAAGUUAUAACAAUAGAUAAUAUAAACCGUAUCAUAUUAGUUGUGUUUUUUAUUCCACAGUUCGGUAGUGUUACUUUACUUUACACUGACUCUAACACAGCACUGAGUGUUGUGUUUCCAGAUCUUGCAUUGACCAUUGACCGUAAUGAAACAGCAUGCUGUUUGUCUCAGACUGCAUUAAGCCAGUUGAGCACAGACUCUCCCAGACUCUUGUUACUUACAAACUAAAUGUAUAUGUAUUCCCAUACUUUCAUGUGUUCAUGAUUUUAUAUCAGUUUAUGUAACAUGAUGGAAAUGUUUUCUUUAUGUUAUCUAUUACUGUUACUUUGAUAAACUUCAUCUAUCAA
rnacentral:lncRNA from 1 species